CUAAGUGCAGGCACUUGCUGCAGCCUGACGCGAACCCUCCCCAGGAGUGGGGGCCGGGUGAGAGCUGCCUUGCGGGGCUGCUCAGCGCUCCCUCCAUCCCUAUCCCAAGGCCGGUCUGGACAGCUGCUGUUCUCAUAGAAGCUCUGAGACACGGAUCUUCCAAAAGUCCUAGAAUCGAAAGGUGAAACCUGCAUCAGCUCACCUCUGGGGACAUGGCCACGGACUGGCUGGUCCCAUCUUGUUCUUCUUGGGGGUCCCUGGAGGGUCUGGCGGGCCCAGCAGUCUAAAAGCAUGUCCCACUUCUGUCAAGUCUGAGCCACGCCUCACGGAGAGGAGCUCCCGUGCUGACCAGAAGGAGGCCCACCCAUGGCCACAGCCCGCGCCAGGCCCCGGUUUCAGGUGUGGACUGAGGUGAACCCCACCACAUUCCUCUGACCUCUGUGUCCUGCAAGUGUUUGUGGACAGUCUCGAGUCUUGGUUUCUGUGUGACGAUGUCCUCUUGUUCUCUGAAGAUCCGCUGCUGCCGUGGGCCUGGCCGGGCACGGGCCAUUGCUCUGCAGUCUCUGGCUGUGUGGGAGGCCUGUUGCUCACCUCUCCUGCUAUUGCUGUCAUGCAUGGUCCAGAUGGUGGGGCAUGCUGAACUCUGGGCCUGACCCUGACCCCUGGGCACAGGUGGGCUGGAUGCCCAUGUACUCUCCCUCUGCACCUGCCUGGCCUCCACGUCAGGAGCUUCCACACCCUGCAGCCUGUGUUCAGUGGGGUGCACUAGGGCCUCCUGGGGUCCCAUCUCUGAGAGACCUGCUGGGUGGCCAAAGGGACACUGAGGCCUAGCAGGGGAAGAUGUUAACUGAAGGUCGCAAAGCCCUAGUUCUGCCCAGACACGCUGCUUCUCAGGCAGGGAGAAGGGAGCACAGACACGUGCAUGUGCACCAGAAGGGACCUUCCAGGGUGAGCUCAGGGGUCUUUCUGCCACUUGGUGCUCGCCCCUCCACACUGACACUUGGACACCAUCUUUCAUAGCUCCCUCCCCUUCGCAGCCAAGCCUGGGCACUUUCCCGGGCAUUGCAUAUGGAGCUGCCCAUUCUUUCUGUCCUGGGGCCCUGGGACCCCUAAUCGUGUACAAUCACUGUGCAUGCGACUCUUCCCAGUGGGAAUCUUACCACCUCGGACCCCCGUGGGCCUUCACACGACCUUUUCCAAGUAUUUCUACCAAACAGAGUUUCAGAAGUGGAACCGCUGUGGCAAAGGACCUGUGCCUUUGGGAUUUUAGCAUCCGUAGGAGCCUGACAGGGCUUGGAGCCUCCAAGCAGGAGGGUGUGAGAACCACCCGGGUCUGGCUGGGCACUCUUCUCCUAGCAAGAGUUAUUAGCUAGGAGUGGACUGGAUCAUCUGCCUCCUUCCAGAAGCUCUGCUACCAAGCAAAUGGCUCCGCCUCAGACUGUCCCCUGAGAAGCUGCAACAGGGGCGACGGGUGAGAUGGAGGCUGUCAGACUUGUGCCACGGCAGGGAGGGAAGGCUCUGGAACCUUGACUGGCAGGAAUGGCCCCUCCCUGAGAAGCCACGUCCUGCAGCUGAGAGCUAGUCGGAGGGUCCUGGACAGCGGCUGUCUGCAGGCAGCAGGCCUUAUGUGACAGCCGCCUCUUCUUCCACCCCUCCCUGCUGCCAGGGGCCGGGCAGUGGCUCUGAGCCCUGGGCGAGGGCCCAGCCUUGAGGAAGGCCUUGGCCCCGGGGUUGGUGCUGCCUCCUCUUCCUCCCGGGGUUGGAGCUGUCUCUGGACCCAGCUGCUCCUAUGUCCCUGGUGGGCUGUGGACGAGACAUGUCAUCCUUGUUCCCUGCAGAGGGUCCCCAGGAGUGUCUUGGAGGACCUUGAGACUCCCUUUUACUCCAAGCUGCUGCCCCUAAGCCCACCCCAGGAGGGCGGGGGCCUGCCACGUGUGGGCUGGGGGCCAAGUGGUUAAACAAGGAGAACACGGGACAGUGUCUGAGGCCGGGGGAGCCCCUCCACUGCACUCCAGGGGGCUGCCCCAGUGUCCUCACAACAUGGCGGCUGGUGUCCACAGCACAAGGUCUCCAGCAGGACAAGGCAGAACCACCAUGCCAAGGCAGAGAAGCCAGCCCUGGUAGCCACCCCACCAACUCCCAGGGUCGUCCUGGUCACCUGGCCUUCAGAUUGUGCCCCUGGGCUGAGCCAGGUCCCAGCAGUGGGACCAGCCACUUCUCCAUCAUAACCCUUGUGGCACUGACCUGUGGCCCACUUUCUCUGAUGUCCUCGACAGGACCCUGGUGCCCCUGUGCAGGAGGGGCUGGGGGCGAGUUUGCAGUGAGGUGGGUGCCAUGCCUCCUGCUGUGUCUCCACCCAGGGCUGCAGAGCUUAUUGGGUCCUGCAAGGAUUUCAUGGGACAUGUGGCUUAAGAGGAGGGGAUGGAGAGAAUGACGAGCAUUUCAGCCCAGAAAUGUGGCCUGUGUCCUCAUCUGUGACCUAAGCAUAAUCAUGGAAGUCCCUCUGUGGCCCGGGAAGCUGCACGAAGAUUUCGGCACAGCAUCCAGCCAGGAGCAGAAUGUGGGUGACAAGGGGUCCUAUGGCCACACCAAUAGCCUGGGGCACGUCUGUGCCCGGGCCACCUCCUUGGGAGAGCAGGGACAGCACAGCCUGGAAGGGACCAAGGGGAGCUGCAGUGGGGAGUGGGUGCCACAGUGGGGAAGCUGGAGAAGGACAGGCGGUGGCCAUGGGCUGGGCGCCGGGCCUCUUGGGGUUUUGGAGCAAGCCAGCGCCCAGAUUGGGGUAGGGUCAGGCACAGGAGGGCAGGCGGGGCGCAUCCCCAGCUGGCUUCAGGUCCCCUGCCCCUUCUGCCUCUGCUCUGUGUCCAGGCCUGCUCCACCAGGACAGGGGGAAGCUCCUGUUGCAUUUUCCUGCCUGAGGACAGAUGGCAGCCGAGCGAGGCAUCCGUUUUGUUGGACAGAGGAAAACAGACCUUUAAAACAGCUCAGCAGCCAGACAGGCUGGCCCGCAGGGGCUGAGGAGUGGCGGGAACUCGGCCCUGGUGCGUGGACAGGCGGCUGUGGUCCUGGGGCCGCCGGGCGUCCGUCGG